rnacentral:rRNA from 1 species
GACGAACGCUGGCGGCGUGCUUAACACAUGCAAGUCGAACGGAAAGGCCCUGCUUUUGUGGGGUGCUCGAGUGGCGAACGGGUGAGUAACACGUGAGUAACCUGCCCUUGACUUUGGGAUAACUUCAGGAAACUGGGGCUAAUACCGGAUAGGAGCUCCUGCUGCAUGGUGGGGGUUGGAAAGUUUCGGCGGUUGGGGAUGGACUCGCGGCUUAUCAGCUUGUUGGUGGGGUAGUGGCUUACAAAGGCUUUGACGGGUAGCCGGCCUGAGAGGGUGACCGGCCACAUUGGGACUGAGAUACGGCCCAGACUCCUACGGGAGGCAGCAGUGGGGAAUAUUGCACAAUGGGCGGAAGCCUGAUGCAGCAACGCCGCGUGCGGGAUGCCGGCCUUCGGGUUGUAAACCGCUUUCGCCUGUGACGAAGCGUGAGUGACGGUAAUGGGUAAAGAAGCACCGGCUAACUACGUG